CCCGGGGACCUGCAUCUCAUACUGCUCGGCUUGAGUAUGGGAGAGGAUGAGGGAAUUCCUGGUGUAGCGGUGAAAUGCGUAGAUAUCAGGAGGAACACCGGUGGCGAGGGCGCUCAUCUGGCCCAAUACUGACGCUGAAGCACGAAAGCUAGGGGAGCAAACGGGAUUAGAUACCCCGGUAGUCCUAGCCGUAAACGGUGAUCACUAGGUGUUGGAGGCAUCGACCCCUCCAGUGCCGCAGCUAACGCAUUAAGUGAUCCGCCUGGGGAGUACGGCCGCAAGGUUGAAACUCAAAGGAAUUGACGGGGGCCCGCACAAGCGGUGGAGCAUGUGGUUUAAUUCGACGCAACGCGAAGAACCUUACCCAGGCUUGACAUGCAUCGGACGGGUGUGGAAACACACCUUCCCUUCGGGGCCGGUGCACAGGUGCUG
rnacentral:rRNA from 1 species